CCCCUUUCAACCUAGCGAUCAAGUUGGCCCCUGCUGCUCCUCGCGCCUCCCCACCCCGCAUAGGAAGAAAGACUUCCUUCCUUCAUCUCUCGACAUGGCCCAAGCCUAGGAAUCACCUUCCCUUUCUCUUCUCGGAUGCUGGAUGCUCAACUUUGCUAACUUUUUUUUUUUUCCUUUUAAACUCCUGAGAGUCAGAGCUCCUGUAUCCUUGCCCUCUCAACCUUCUGGUUUUCUCCGUCGGAUAAACUUUCUCUUCUACCUACUUCAUAGAGGACACCUGUGCAGCUCUGACCCCAUUGAUGAGUGCCUUGGGGUUGUACCUGAGUGUUGGGGCUUCUCUUUUGCUCCCAAGAUCGCCACCAAUGGCUGCAGAGAUUAUAUUCUGCGCUGAGAAUGCAAUAUAAAUGCAACCCUUUGUGUUAUGCGUGGAACAGCCUCAUUUGGUGGCUCUGUUUGUGCCGAUUCUCCACCUACAAUACCUUCCCCUGCACCUCUGCCUUUCACCUCCUUCCACGUGCAUCUCUGAUCUGAACUUCUCUCUUCAUCCUCACAUCCCCUCCUGACCACAGCCUGGAAGGUGUUCCCCUUUCUUCCGACCAUCUUUGGUGUAUUCUAUCUGUCAUGAUAAUCUGAAAAUUAAGCAAGGCCCACACAGGCCCUUUCUCGUUGAGUGUUUUUCUUUGGCUAUUAUUUUCGCCCUCUGUUCUUAUUCAGCUUUUGGCCAGCCUGAAUCUCCUUGCGUGGUUUUCAGCUCUAAGGAUAGGAACUGUGUCCUCCCCAUCUUUCUGUCUCCCUGUAGGGCUUGCACACAGCUGAAAUUCAAUAGGACAAAAGAAGUAAGUGCUGUCUAAAGGGAGAGACCUCUUAAACAGUGAGACAGGCCAGUCCAAACGGAGUGUCUGUGACAAAACUCUUCCGUCAAUCGGUUUUUCAGAUUCUUUCAGUUGUUGAUGCUCCAAUGGUUAUGCUAAUGACAACCAAGAAAAGCACAGAUGUUGGCCAGGUACCAAACUCCAGACGAAUUCUAGCCCAGCUCAUUCUUUUCGCCAAACUUUCUGCAAGAGCAUCUAACAAGAAGAGGCUCAGGCACCAUUGACUUCCCGUCCCAACUCUUCCUUGAGGGAGUCAAGCUUUUUCUUUCUCAGGUUCAAACCAAGAGUGGGAGAUCCAAAGUACGGCGAUCUGAGGGUCCAGGAGGAAGAUGGAGAAGGAAAGAGAACAAGCAAAAGGUCUGCAAAUCAAGGAAAUGUUACAGCUACAGAGCUUGGGUUUAGAGACUUAGAAGAGACCAGUUCGGGUCAUUUCCAAUUCAUUGCUGAGGUAAUGUUCUUGUAAAGAACAGUUGCUUUUGGAGUUCCCGUCGUGGCACAGUAGUUCAUGAAUCUGACUAGGAGCCAUGAGGUUUCGGGUUCGAUCCCUGGCCUCACUCCGUGGGUUAAGGAUCCGGCAUUGCCGUGAGCUGGGGUGUAGGUUGCAGACGUGGCUUGGAUCCUGCAUGGCUGUGGCUGUGGGGUAGGCCAGCAGCAGUAGCCCCGACUGGACCCCUAGCCUGGGAACUUCCAUGUGUUGAGAGGGCGGCCUUAAAAAAAAAAAAAAAAGCCACAGUCCUGUGGGGGGAGGUGACAUUAGGGUCUUCCCAACCUCCCCAGUGUCAGACCACAAAGCCUACUAAUUCUUAGUCUAUGUCAAUGAUUUGCAUUUUCUUUCCUAAAUGUCCUUGUGCGGUGCUACAAUCCGAGAGUCCAGGAUGCUGGGGUUUUUCUCUGAGUACCUCACUCCUCUAAGGUUCGGUUUCUGAUUGACUCAUGGGGCUCCAGUGUCCCGGAGCAGAUGGGGCAGCUUGGCCAACUCGGAGGGGAAAAGAUUGACUUCAGAUGAAAAACUUCUGUGUCUGUGACUAAGGACUGAGUCAGCUACCUGGUUUAGGAUGUACUAUUUGUCAGAAAGUCGAUCUGGAGGAAAUAUCACUCAUUCUGGCCAGAGUCAUGGUUUUCGGUGCAUUUUUUACUCAUGAAAUUCAAAAAGAACAGGGUGCCAGUUUAACCUUGGGGUUGAGGUUAUGAAUGAGAAAGGAAGUUGAAAUUACCCAGGGGGGCUGUCCCCUUAGUCAGAGUUUCAGAGCAUUCCAGACUCUUGUGUCAAUGAAAGCAUAUUGAGCUUCCAUCACAUAACAAAGAGUCAAGCACUGGUCUGUUUGGAGACCCUCCCUGUCCGCCGACAGUUUGGCUCCUUUGAGCUCUCCUUCACCAUCACUCCCUCCUGCUGCCUCUCUUUCCCUCUUUCUCUCCCCUUUCUCUCUUUCUUUCUUCUUUCUUCCUUCCUUUCUUUCCUCUCUCUUUCCUUCCUUCCUUGAAAAAAAGCAACGGUUCUUUUUUUUGGGGGGGGGGCCUUUUUGCCAUUUCCAGGGCCACUCCUGCAGCACAUGGAGGUUCCCAGGUUAGGGGUCGAAUCAGAGCUCCUCAAAGGUCAAGAUUCAGGCCCUAAAGUGUUGCUAGUCACAUCUUCAUGUGGAUACAUAACCUGAAAUAAGGUGCGGAGAGAAGGAGAGAGGGAGCAACAGGAACACUGUAGCGUAGGCGUACGUGUCACACCCCAAGUCAGAACCUUGGAGAGCUGGGUCCCUUUCGGAAAGUUGUCUUGCUUCUCUGAGGACCAUGACAGUUGAUCUAACUCGAUGAUCUCACCUACCUCUCCCCUUCCUUCCUCCCUUCCUUCCAGUCUCCUUCUUUCCUUUCUUUCUUUUCUCUAAGUGUUUGUUGAACCCCCUCUAUGACUUCGUUCUAUGGCAUUGCGAAUAGAACGGUAAAUAAAGGAGCUCCCAUUGGGGCA
rnacentral:lncRNA from 1 species